AACGAACGCUGGCGGCAUGCCUAACACAUGCAAGUCGAACGAGACCUUCGGGUCUAGUGGCGCACGGGUGCGUAACGCGUGGGAACCUGCCCUUAGGUUCGGAAUAACUCCCCGAAAGGGGUGCUAAUACCGGAUAAUGUCUUCGGACCAAAGAUUUAUCGCCUUUGUAUGGGUCCGCGUUGGAUUAGCUAGUUGGUAGGGUAAAAGCCUACCAAGGCGACGAUCCAUAGCUGGUCUGAGAGGAUGAUCAGCCACACUGGGACUGAGACACGGCCCAGACUCCUACGGGAGGCAGCAGUGGGGAAUAUUGGACAAUGGGCGAAAGCCUGAUCCAGCAAUGCCGCGUGAGUGAUGAAGGCCUUAGGGUUGUAAAGCUCUUUUACCCGGGAUGAUAAUGACAGUACCGGGAGAAUAAGCUCCGGCUAACUCCGUG
rnacentral:rRNA from 1 species